rnacentral:rRNA from 1 species
GACGAACGCUGGCGGCGUGCCUAACACAUGCAAGUCGAACGGAGAAAUUCAGCAAUGGAUUUCUUAGUGGCGAACGGGUGAGUAACGCGUAGAUAACCUGCCUCUAAGAUGGGGACAACAACUCGAAAGGGUUGCUAAUACCGAAUGUGAACAGUGCCUCGCAUGAGAUGCUGUUUGAAGGUGGCCUCUGAAUAUGCUACCGCUUAGAGAUGGGUCUGCGUCUGAUUAGCUAGUUGGAGGGGUAAUGUCCCACCAAGGCGACGAUCAGUAGCCGGUCUGAGAGGAUGAACGGCCACACUGGGACUGAGACACGGCCCAGACUCCUACGGGUGGCAGCAGUGGGGAAUCUUCCGCAAUGGACGAAAGUCUGACGGAGCAACGCCGCGUGAGUGAAGAAGGUUUUCGGAUCGUAAAGCUCUGUCUUCAGGGACGAAUGUGCAGAUUGUAAAUAAUGGUUUGCAAUGACGGUACCUGAGGAGGAAGCCACGGCUAACUACGUGCCAGCAGCCGUCGCCG